rnacentral:rRNA from 1 species
UGCAGUCGAACGGCAGCACGAGAGAGCUUGCUCUCUUGGUGGCGAGUGGCGGACGGGUGAGGAAUACAUCGGAAUCUACCUUUUGGUGGGGGAUAACGUAGGGAAACUUACGCUAAUACCGCAUACGCCCUUCGGGGGAAAGCCGGGGACCUUCGGGCCUGGCGCUGAUAGAUGAGCCGAUGUCGGAUUAGCUAGUUGGUGAGGUAAUGGCUCACCAAGGCGACGAUCCGUAGCUGGUCUGAGAGGAUGAUCAGCCACACUGGAACUGAGACACGGUCCAGACUCCUACGGGAGGCAGCAGUGGGGAAUAUUGGACAAUGGGCGCAAGCCUGAUCCAGCCAUACCGCGUGGGUGAAGAAGGCCUUCGGGUUGUAAAGCCCUUUUGUUGGGAAAGAAAAGCGAUCGGUUAAUACCCGGUUGUUCUGACGGUAC